GUAGGCAGAAUGCUAUUGGGGAAAAGAAUACGUGAUCCCUGGUGGAUAAGGGAUGCAAUCAUGUUACAAACAAAGGAAAUGGCCAGUGCUCUGAGUUUUGCAUAGGUCAUGUUCUCCACGUUCCAUGGAUUUAGUUUGACAUGCCUGAAGCCGUCUUGAGCAGCAACCACCACGGUUGCUCCUGAGUAACUCUAACCACUUUGUUUUAUAAAGAUUCCCAGCAAACCAUAAAUAGACAAAGCCAUAGACUGGCACCAGGGAGGCACCUGACUCUUUAUUAGCUUGAGAUAAAACCAGGUACACGCCACAGAUUCACUCCUCUUUCUGACCCAAAUUCUGAUUGGUCUUGCUGAGAUGUCCAGGACUAGGUUUCAGAUUCUUGUACUCUGUGCAACCCUGGAUCUGUCUGGCUGUUUCUUUGGUCUCACAAUAACUUGAUUUUCAUACACAAGGCCAGGUUGCUCCAGCACAUGUGUGAGCCACUCUUUCCUGCUUCUUAAGUUGGCUGCUCCCUUCUGAUUCUUUAUUUCUCUGUUGAACAGGCACUUCUCCCACGAAGGCUUCCCUGACCUUCUUAGCUGCCACGAAUGGUCUUCCUCUGUGGCCUAUGAUGAAUAUUGCUACUCAGGUCUUGGCAAUAUCCUUGAGGCCUCCCCCAGUAACCUAGAAACUCCCUGAGGGUAGAGAGUUCCUUUUGUUUCUCUUAUUUAGUUCUAAAUUCCAGGCAUUUUGUAAGCCACUAAAUGAAUGGCAAGAUGAGACUGGAGUGGUAUCUGGGCCCUGCCAGGGAGGGACCCCUCAGCUUCCCACUUCCCGAUGCAUCUCUCCUGAAUUGGUUUGCUUUACUUUUGCAAUGGGGAGAAAGAGAAUAGGAUGGCUUGGAAGAUUGGCCUGUCUGGAGCCCCAUUCAAAGCAAAGUCUACUCAGCAGCCUGACCUAUCUGCCUACUCAGGGGCUGUUCUGUGAAUCAUGUUUGCAAAGACGCAGGUGCCCUUUUGAACCUAAGGAUCUGCUCAGCUCAAAAAUUCUAUUAAUUCUGUGACUCUACAAGUAGCCUCCACAAGAGUGGGUGCCGAAAAUAGAUCAGCUGUGUAGCAUGCCCUGAAUUUGCCUGGGUUACUGAUUUGAUUUUUCCCUCAACUCCUCUCUGAACCUGGCUUGAAAAUUCAGCUUGUUUUGUCAUUUGAAACCUGCCUCAGAGUCCCAGGGACCAGCAUUCAAACUCUGGCUCCAUCGUUUCCCAGCUGCAUGACCUUCCCUGAGACUCUAGUCUUUUGGGGGUCUCAUCUUUAACAUAUCCUUACAUCCCUGGCUCCUCCUCAUCUCCUCCCCCUUCUCUUAUCCUUUUUUUUUGUGGCACUAGGGGUGGAAGCUGGGGCCUUUUGCGCUGAGCUGCAUUCGAUAUCCCCACCCUCUUUAAAUUUGAGGCAAGGUCUUGUUAUGUCCCUAAAUUGCCUAGGUGGGGCUUGAACUUGUGAUCCUCCAGUCUCAGGCUCCCAGAGUGCUGGGACAAUAGGGGUGUAUCACCCCACCUGGCCCCUGCCUCCUUCUGUUUUUUCCUCUUUUGGUAAAUGACCCCGCUUUUCAUGUUUCUGUUCAAACUGUAAACCUAGUAGUUGUCUUUGAUUUCUCUCUCCCUCUUACAGGCUACAUCCAAACCACAAGCAAGUGCUGCAAGCUCUACCUUUAAAACACGUCCAUAAAACACUUCCUCCUCUUUGUUGCGAGUCCUUAUGAAAACCACAGUCGAUGAGAGCAGCAUCUCCUCCAGCUUCCAGGUUCGACAUCCUACAAUCAAUACGUGACCUAGCUGCCCAAGUGUUUAAGAAGAGCAACCAAAACCCAUAAAUCCCACUCUUAUUAAAAUCUUCCUAUGGCUUUCCAUUUUGCUUAGAAUCAAAAUUAAUUCCUUGCCAUGACCUGGAAGGUUUGAUUUAAUCUCUUGCAUUUUAGGCUAACUGCUGGUCUCUUUUCCUUUGGUCCCUUCUUUGUCUUCCUGGCCUCAGGGUCUUCGCAUUUACUGUUCUUUCUGCCUGGGCAAUCUCUUCCCUUAGACCUUCCAAGGCUGUCUUCUUUUCAUCAUCCCAGCUUUAUCUCAAACAUUGCUUCCUGUGACAGGCUGUACUCAUUCAUCCAAAUUCAAAUAACCUCCAACCUGGCCAUUAUCACAUUACUUAGCACCAUCUUCUUCCACGGUGAAACUCUGUCUAAACAUUUUUAAAAAUAUUUUUAUUGACUCCUCCCAUAGAAGGGGUUCCCUUUGAGAACGGGGGACUUAUUUGUCACGAUUACCCCUGGAUGCUGAGACUGGUGCACACACAGUAGGUAUUUAAUAAAGAUCUUUUAAAUGAGUAUAUAGUAGAUGGUCAUGAAGAUGAAAUAAGAGCAUGCACUUGCCUGUACACACACACUCACAGACUUACAUAUGACAGGAACAGCUUGGUGAGCAGUGGUAUUGUUAGCAGCUGGGAUCCAGAUUCUCCCUCAGUCUUCAGCUGUAUGAUGCCUCCCUUGAUUCCAUUAUGUUCUCAAGAAACUUUUCCAGCCUCUUGUUGAAUAAAAAUUCUUCAACUUCUCAGCUACCUCAUGG
ensembl:lincRNA